GAGGAAGGCAAAUGUAUUCCAUAUUUCAAGCAACAUUUGGCUUUAAUAAUAAUACUACAAAGGGAAGAGAUGUUGCCGAGACAGAAAGCAGUAUUCAUGGAGAAAGAAUCAGAAAAGUGGAGAAGCAGGAUCAUAUUUUGAGAUAGAACAGCUAAUAGCUGAAGAACUCUGCCAUGAAAGUCCCAAGCAGCCCAGCCUUAGCAGGUAGCAAAGAACAGAAUGUGUACAGAAAUAAUACAUCUACAACUGAUGCCUGGAAGCACAAGUACAAGUGGCUUUUUUUUUUUUCCUGAGGUCCUCAAAAUCAAAAUCUGUACUUUCUGUGGGAACCAGUUGUCAUGGGGGGGUUUUCAGAAUUAUAAAUCAAUGGCAACUGUAAUCUAAUUCCUCAAGUCAAACUAUUUGGUUCAAGUUUGCAAAUGUGAAAUAAGCUUGCUUUCAUCAU